rnacentral:rRNA from 1 species
GACGAACCGUCCAAACGUUAUUCGGAAUCACUGGGCUUAAAGGGUGCGUAGGCGGCCUGGUAAGUUGGGUGUGAAAUCCCUCGGCUCAACCGAGGAAUGGCGCCCAAUACUGCCAGGCUAGAGGGAGACAGAGGUGGGCGGAACUUGCGGUGGAGCGGUGAAAUGCGUUGAUAUCGCAAGGAACACCAGUAGCGAAAGCGGCUCACUGGGUCUCUUCUGACGCUCAGGCACGAAAGCUAGGGUAGCGAACGGG